GGUCCCUUGCAAUAAUUUGCUGCGAACCCCGCCAGGCCCGGAAGGGAGCAACGGUAGUAGUUAAAUUAUGUGCAGGAUA
rnacentral:SRP_RNA from 1 species